rnacentral:rRNA from 1 species
GUAAGCGGAGGAAAAGAAACUAACGAGGAUUCCCUUAGUAGCUGCGAGCGAACAGGGAAAAGCCCAGCACUGAAUCCCGGGGGCCUCGCCUCCAGGGAAAUGUAGUGUUUGGGAGGGUCCAUACACCCGAUACCGUCGCACUGCGUCCAAGUCCAUCUUGAAAGAGGCCACGGUCCCGAGAGGGUGCCAGGCCCGUGGUAGGCCGGUGCAGGUGUUGGGUGGACCUCUCCUCAGAGUCAGGUUGCUUGAGAGUGCAGCCCUAAGCGGGUGGUAAACUCCAUCUAAGGCUAAAUACAACCACGAGACCGAUAGCGAACAAGUACCGUGAGGGAAAGUUGAAAAGAACUUUGAAGAGAGAGUUCAAGAGUACGUGAAACCGCUCAGGGGUAAACGGAAAAGACCCGAAAUUUCCGAAGAGGGAGAUUCACGUCUUCUCGCGGGUUCGACGCAUUCACUCCUCUCCGACGACCCUGCCCCCGUUCGGACUCGUCCGGUGCGUGGCGGUGGGGUUGCAGAGGGUGAUGUGGAGGCCUGCGGCGGACCGCACUUCUCCCUUAGUAGGACGUCGUGACCCGUCCGGUCAUGGUCAUAAGGGCGCAGGGUGGAGCCUGUCCGAUCGUGCUUGCACGUCUUCGGGCAGACCCCCGUGCCCCGGCCAUGAAUUUCGGUCGGUAUCGAAUGACAGUGUUUGGUCGCUUGCCGUCGGAGGGAACUCCUGACAGUGAGUGCGCGUGGCUCUCGACAAGGUGCUGGGAUGUGUGGUCAAGGCGGGCUCCCGUCCGUCUGGCUCCGCUCGGCCCUGUUAGUCUUGUUGCUCUGGCGCCGGCCGAUUUUCAUAAACACUCGUCUACGGCGAAUCAGUUUUGGGCUCUUGUCCGACCCGUCUUGAAACACGGACCAAGGAGUUCAGCGUGUACGCGAGUCAUUGGGUGGUAAAACCCAAAGGCGUAAUGAAAGUGAAGGGAACUUUACGUUUCUGAGGGAGGAUGAGUCGGUUACCCGCGAGGGGCCGCUCCGCACUCCCGGGGCGUCUCUUUCUCAUUGCGAGUGGAGGCGCACCCAUAGCGUACACGCUGAUACCCGAAAGAUGGUGAACUAUGCCUGGCCAGGACGAAGCCAGGGGAAACCCUGGUGGAGGUCCGCAGCGAUUCUGACGUGCAAAUCGAUCGUCGGAGCUGGGUAUAGGGGCGAAAGACCAAUCGAACCAUCCUUGAACUUUGUUUUUUGAAGCCGGGGGCUCGGAUCAGAGUGCCAAGUGGGCCAAUUUUGGUAAGCAGAACUGGCGCUGUGGGAUGAACCAAACGUCGAGUUAAGGCGCCCAAAUCGACGCUCAUGUGAAACCAUGAAAGGCGUUGGUUGCUUAAGACAGCAGGACGGUGGCCAUGGAAGUCGGAAUCCGCUAAGGAGUGUGUAACAACUCACCUGCCGAAGCAACUAGCCCUGAAAAUGGAUGGCGCUGUAGCGUCGUGCCUAUACUCGACCGUCAACGGCAAAGAUGGCCGGCGGGCAACCGUCGGCCGUUACGCCUUGACGAGUAGGAGGGCCGCGGCGGCGUGCGUAGAAGGGUCUGGGCGUGAGCCUGCCUGGAGCCGCCGUCGGUGCAGAUCUUGGUGGUAGUAGCAAAUACUCCAGCGAGGCCCUGGAGGACUGAUGUGGAGAAGGGUUUCUUGUGAACAGCUGUUGCACAAGAGUCAGUCGGUCCUAAGCCCUAGGAGAAAUCCGAAGCGAUGGGUUGCCGUUAAUAACUCUGAUCGAUUUAUGAAGGCACCCGUUUGGGCGAAAGGGAAUCUGGUUCCUAUUCCAGAACCUGGCAGUGGAACCGUUCCAAUUCGGGCCCUCUGAGGACUCGUCAGGGCAACCUGAAUAGACCCGGAGACGCCGACAGGAGGUUGGGGGAGAGUUGUCUCUUCUCUAUAAGCGAUCGAGUUCCCUGGAAACUUCUAGCAAGGAGAUAGGGUUUGGAUCGCGAAGAGCACUGCAGUUACGGCAGUGUCCCAAUCUUCCUCUCGGACCUUGAAAAUCCGGGUGAGGGCCACGAGGAACCCCACGCCAGACCGUACCCAUAUCCGCAGCAGGUCUCCAAGGUGCAAAGCCUCUAGUCGAUAGAU